rnacentral:rRNA from 1 species
CAGCAUCGACGAAGCGCAAGUGACGGUAGAUGCAGAAGAAGCACCGGCCAACUACGUGCCAGCAGGCCGCGGUAAAUACGUAGGGUGCGAGCGUUGUCCGGAAUUACUGGGCGUAAAGAGCUCGUAGGUGGUUUGUCGCGUUGUCCGUGAAAAACUCACAACUCAAUUGUGGGCGUGCGGGGCGAUACGGGCAGGCUAGAGUACUGCAGGGGAGACUGGAAUUCCUGGUGUAGCGGUGGAAUGCGCAGAUAUCAGGAGGAACACCGGUGGCGAAGGCGGGUCUCUGGGCAGUAACUGACGCUGAGGAGCGAAAGCGUGGGGAGCGAACAGGAUUAGAUACCCUGGUAGUCCACGCCGUAAACGGUGGGUACUAGGUGUGGGUUUCCUUCCUUGGGAUCCGUGCCGUAGCUAACGCAUUAAGUACCCCGCCUGGGGAGUACGGCCGCAAGGCUA